rnacentral:rRNA from 1 species
UACGUAGGGGGCUAGCGUUGUCCGGAAUCAUUGGGCGUAAAGCGCGUGUAGGCGGUCCGGUAAGUCCGCUGUGAAAGUCGGGGGCUCAACCCUCGAAUGCCGGUGGAUACUGUCGGGCUAGAGUGCGGAAGAGGCGAGUGGAAUUCCUGGUGUAGCGGUGAAAUGCGCAGAUAUUAGGAGGAACACCAAUUGCGAAGGCAGCUCGCUGGGACGUUACUGACGCUGAGACGCGAAAGCGUGGGGAGCAAACAGG